UGCCCGGGAGUGCGGUGUCGGUGUGCGGCCGCGGCCUGCGGCACCGCGCGGCGCGGCCGCCUCCCUUCCCCCUACCCACCUUCCCCGCGACCCCCCUCCCUACCUCCACACAGGGGUCAGAUCAGCUCCCACGCCCAUCGCAUCGCAUGUUGUGGCUCAAGUUGCUCAUGAUAAGUGUACGUCGUCUCUUCCAAACACGGGAAAGCUGGGGCCUGCAGGUUUCGCGCAGUUAAUCCUAAACUACUGAUUUUUGAAUGUAACAUUUUUCCUGGACGGUAACUUUAUGAUGUGGGGUCUAGAAAAUCAAGCCUGAACUCUACAAGAAAACGAGCAUAUAGUACCCCAUCUUGGGUUACGACCCCUCUCACCUCGAAGCACCUACGUCAUCAGUCGCGUUCCUGAAGAAGGGUCUUCCCCGGACCUAACACGGUUCUGUGAAAAAUGCCAUCGCCGCAUGCCGACUCGUCGAGGUCCGACACCUGGACGAAAGGCUCGCGAGAUGCGCCCCUAUCUGCGCGCUGGGAAAUGAAACUAGGAAAGGACACGGCGGAUGCUAUGGGAAGCUGGGACCAGCCCAUUAAUGAACACUCAGGACAUUUCAGUUUACAUUGCUGUAUUAAAAUUUAACUUGGUUAUGAAAUAAGACGUCACAAAGAGAUAAAACUCACUUUGUAAACAAAAAUUUUGUUCCAAUUUACAUAAAUAAGCUAUCACCAAUGCCAUAUACCUAUGUACAUACAACGUCUUUGGAAUACCCAAUACAAAGCCUACAUAAAACGUAGUUCAACAUAAAUAAAACAAGUAUGUUCCCAUAUAACAUAA